rnacentral:rRNA from 1 species
UACAGAGGGGGCAAGCGUUAUUCGGAAUUAUUGGGCGUAAAGGGCGCGUAGGCGGCUUUUCAAGUGGCGGGUGAAAUCCCUCGGCUUAACCGAGGAACUGCCUGCCAGACUGGAAUGCUUGAGACCGGGAGAGGUGAGUGGAAAUUCCCCAAGUAGAGGUGAAAAUUCGUAGAUAUGGGGAGGAACACCGGUGGCGAAGGCGGCCACCUGGACGGUAACUGACGCUGAGACGCGAAAGCGUGGGGAGCAAACAGG